rnacentral:misc_RNA from 1 species
AAUGAACCGAAAUCCCCGCCCAGCAAAUCGAGGGCCCUGCAAAAAUCUCAAAGCAACGAUAACAGGGAACCCUUUCUGACGCCGGUGAAAAGACUUUUGACCAACAGGAUAUACCUAACUUUGUGCAACUCGUACGGUUUCGGCGUUGGAGUCCUCAACGCCGUCGCCACGUUGCUCAAUCAAAUGAUCCUCCAACAUUUCAAGGAUGGAGAACAAAUCGCGGGUCAAGUUGGCCUCUUACUCACUCUGAUGGGAAUGAUGGGUGCCGUGGUGUCAGGCUUCGUCAUCGGAAAG